CCUACGGGAGGCAGCAGUGAGGAAUAUUGGUCAAUGGGCGCGAGCCUGAACCAGCCCAGUAGCGUGAAGGAUGACUGCCCUACGGGUUGUAAACUUCUUUUAUAAAGGAAUAAAGUUAGGCACGUGUGCCUUUUUGUAUGUACUUUAUGAAUAAGGAUCGGCUAACUCCGUGCCAGCAGCCGCGGUAAUACGGAGGAUCCGAGCGUUAUCCGGAUUUAUUGGGUUUAAAGGGAGCGUAGGUGGGUUGUUAAGUCAGUUGUGAAAGUUUGCGGCUCAACCGUAAAAUUGCAAUUGAUACUGGCUGUCUUGAGUGCAGUUGCGGUAGGCGGAAUUCGUGGUGUAGCGGUGAAAUGCUUAGAUAUCACGAAGAACUCCGAUUGCGAAGGCAGCUUACUAAACUGCCACUGACAUUGAUGCUCGAAAGUGUGGGUAUCAAACAGGAUUAGAUACCCCUGUAGUC
rnacentral:rRNA from 1 species